GAUUUUGUUUGUAAUUGUAGUUUAUCACUCAAACCCCAAAAACGCCCCUCAUGCUCAUCAGUGAUCUUUUCAGGGUUCAAGUGAUAAACUACAAUUACAAACAAAAUCCCAUCCAAUUUCCACAACCUAUUCCAACUAUUUGGAAUUGCCAAAUGACAACCUACGUAAAUCACACAAUUGCGCCAAAUAAAUAAUCCCUGUUUGACCUGCCAUUACUCAAACUCAGGAGAAGACAUACUGGCCAGAAGAGUUGCCAAUCACAUCUAAACGGAAACAGUAUCUCAAGCUGACCAUUCACGGGAACAAGUUGCAUACCUUAACUGAAUUUAAAUCCACCAGAAGGAACAGUAAAGUUACUUUCUCCAAAGUUAUAUCCAGAGAGGGAACCAUCAUCCUGAGGCUCUGCUUCAUCAUCAUCCCCCCCCAGCCAAUAUGUCUCAAGAAUCUUCACAGCUUUCUCAUAUAUGUCAUUGUUGUCAUGACUCUGAAGGUUCUCAAUCUUUUCUAAACCCUCUGCAUCAUCAAUCAUUUGGGCAUAAAGAUUUGC
rnacentral:misc_RNA from 1 species